rnacentral:rRNA from 1 species
AUUGAACGCUGGCGGCAGGCCUAACACAUGCAAGUCGAACGGUAGCACAGAGAGCUUGCUCUCGGGUGACGAGUGGCGGACGGGUGAGUAACGUCUGGGAAACUGCCCGAUGGAGGGGGAUAACUACUGGAAACGGUAGCUAAUACCGCAUAACGUCGCAAGACCAAAGUGGGGGACCUUCGGGCCUCACACCAUCGGAUGUGCCCAGGUGGGAUUAGCUAGUAGGUGGGGUAAUGGCUCACCUAGGCGACGAUCCCUAGCUGGUCUGAGAGGAUGGCCAGCCACACAGGAACGGAGACACGGUCCCGACUCCUACGGGAGGCAGCAGUGGGGAAUAUUGCACAAUGGGCGCAAGCCUGAUGCAGCCAUGCCGCGGGUAUGAAGAAGGCCUUCGGGUUGUAAAGUACUUUCAGCGGGGAGGAAGGCGGUGAAGUUAAUAGCUUCACCGAUUGACGUUACCCGCAGAAGAAGCACCGGCUAACUCCGUGCCAGCAGCCGCGGUAA